UUAAAUUGAAGAGUUUGAUCAUGGCUCAGAUUGAACGCUGGCGGCAGGCCUAACACAUGCAAGUCGAACGGUAACAGGAAACAGCUUGCUGUUUCGCUGACGAGUGGCGGACGGGUGAGUAAUGUCUGGGAAACUGCCUGAUGGAGGGGGAUAACUACUGGAAACGGUAGCUAAUACCGCAUAAUGUCGCAAGACUAAAGAGGGGGACCUUCGGGCCUCUUGCCAUCGGAUGUGCCCAGAUGGGAUUAGCUAGUAGGUGGGGUAACGGCUCACCUAGGCGACGAUCCCUAGCUGGUCUGAGAGGAUGACCAGCCACACUGGAACUGAGACACGGUCCAGACUCCUACGGGAGGCAGCAGUGGGGAAUAUUGCACAAUGGGCGCAAGCCUGAUGCAGCCAUGCCGCGUGUAUGAAGAAGGCCUUCGGGUUGUAAAGUACUUUCAGCGGGGAGGAAGGGAGUAAAGUUAAUACCUUUACUCAUUGACGUUACCCGCAGA
rnacentral:rRNA from 1 species